GCGCCGUUAACUCAGCUGGUAGAGUAGCUGCCUUUUAAGCAGAAGGUCACAGGUUCGAAUCCUGUACGGCGUACAA
rnacentral:tRNA from 1 species